AAAAUUGUCGUCCUCCGCAGCCAGCAGGGCGUCGAUGAAAUCGCGGGGGAUGGCUUCGAAUUCGAUAGGCGUUCGCCGCAUUUCGCCGUACUCGGCGAUGAGCUUGCCGUCGCUGCUGUAGAUGCGCAGGGGAAUCUGCAGCUGGAUGCUGCGCAGCGCUUCGACGGAGGGGAGUGUGGGAUUGAUGUAGAGGAAGGCGCCGCUGAGGCUCAGCGCCAGACCGCAUACGACGGCGAAGCCGGACCACACGACGAAUUUCAGCAGGCGAAUCAAGGUGGCGGAUUUCCAGGGUA
rnacentral:antisense_RNA from 1 species